rfam:Domibacillus enclensis strain NIO-1016 genome assembly, contig: Ga0061089_118
CCGUGCUAGGUGGGGAGGUAGCGGUGCCCUGUACUCGCAACCCGCUCUAGCGAGACUGAAUUCCUUCUCGAGGCUGUUUAAUUGUGGGGCCUGCCUUUUGUAAGUGGCGUUGACGUCCGGGUCCUGCGCAAUGAGAACCCAUGAACCAUGUCAGGUCCGGAAGGAAGCAGCAUUAAGUGGACUCUCUCAUGUGCCGCGGGGCAGCCUGGGCUGAGCUAACUGCUCAAGUAACGCCUGUGAUUGGCAGUCGACAGAAGGUGCACGG